rnacentral:rRNA from 1 species
GACGAACGCUGGCGGCGUGCUUAACACAUGCAAGUCGAACGGAAAGGCCCUGCUUUUGUGGGGUGCUCGAGUGGCGAACGGGUGAGUAACACGUGAGUAACCUGCCCUUGACUUUGGGAUAACUUCAGGAAACUGGGGCUAAUACCGGAUAGGAGCUCCUGCUGCAUGGUGGGGGUUGGAAAGUUUCGGCGGGUGGGGAUGGACUCGCGGCUUAUCAGCUUGUUGGUGGGGUAGUGGCUUACCAAGGCUUUGACGGGUAGCCGGCCUGGGAGGGUGACCGGCGACAUUGGGACUGAGAUACGGCCCAGACGCCUACGGGAGGCAGCAGUGGGGAAUAUUGCACAAUGGGCGGAAGCCUGAUGCAGCAACGCCGCGUGCGGGAUGACGGCCUUCGGGUUGUAAACCGCUUUCGCCUGUGACGAAGCGUGAGUGACGGUAAUGGGUAAAGAAGCACCGGCUAACUACGUG